UACGUAGGUGGCGAGCGUUGUUCGGAUUUAUUGGGCGUAAAGGGUCUGUAGGAGGUUUGUUAAAUUCGAGGUGAAAUCCCGAAGCUCAACUUCGGAACUGCCUUGGAGACUGAUGGACUAGAGUGCUGGAGAGGUAAGCGGAAUACCAGGUGUAGCGGUGGAAUGCGUAGAUAUCUGGUAGAACACCAAGAGCGAAGGCAGCUUGCUGGACAGUAACUGACUCUGAGAGACGAAAGCGUGGGGAGCAAACAGG
rnacentral:rRNA from 1 species